UCAGAUAACAUUUAUUUCUGUAUUGAUUAUCAUUCUAUUUUUUAUAGUAUUUAGUUAUAUGCUAAUAUACAAAAUUAUGUGAAAUUUUCUAAAUAUAUUUUGAUUUAUUAUUAGGUAUUGUUCUUAACAGAUCCAGUGAUGUAGAGACAUUAAAGAUAGAAUGUAAAAUCUAUCAAAGAAAAGUUAACUGCAGAUUAUUUCAAGAUUUUGAACGUAUUAAGAAAAGGAAGUUAUAGAAAAAUAUAUCAGGUUCGGAAGAAGACUGAUAAUGAUACAAAUCAAGUUUUUGCUAUGAAAGUCUUACGUAAGCCUACAAUCGUCAGAAAUUUCAAGGAUAUAGCUCAUACCAAAGCAGAACGAAAUAUAUUUGAAGCUUUUAAGGUUCAAGUUCAAUUUUGCUUUUUACAAUAUUUUUAUGGCUGUACAGAAAUCAGUUUACAAAAUAUCCAAUACUUUUUUGGUAGAAAGAACAAAUGUUUUCCUGUUCCACCAAGGACGUCUAUAUAUAGUAAAUACCACCAACUUAAGUGUUAACAGAUUCUAUAAUUUUUAAAUAUACUUCAUUUUUUUCUUUUGUAA